UACGUAGGGUGCGAGCGUUGUCCGGAAUUACUGGGCGUAAAGAGCUCGUAGGUGGUUUGUCGCGUUGUCCGUGAAAACUCACAACUCAAUUGUGGGCGUGCGGGCGAUACGGGCAGGCUGGAGUACUGCAGGGGAGACUGGAAUUCCUGGUGUAGCGGUGGAAUGCGCAGAUAUCAGGAGGAACACCGGUGGCGAAGGCGGGUCUCUGGGCAGUAACUGACGCUGAGGAGCGAAAGCGUGGGGGGCGAACAGG
rnacentral:rRNA from 1 species